GCUAGUUGUAAGUUAAAUAAACUUUUCAUCUUUUAAAUGAGCAAUGCGAGUAGCCUGUAGCA
rnacentral:tRNA from 1 species